ACAUGGCAGCUACAGUAGCAGAGUUGUUGUGGCUAACAACUCACGUGUUGGCACUACCUUCCCACACACAGACAUGGAGCUACAUUAGCAUCUAUUUGAGUCUCUGUCUGACUGACGUUACCUGACAAACGGAACUCGGCAGCCACGGUUUAUCUUGACAAAUGCCAGCUGCAGAGGGUCACUUUAAAGAACUGGCCUUCAGGGGCUUUCCUGCUUUUAGGAGUCAAUGUAAUGCAGCCGCUCUGACAGAGCGAAGCAACACCCCACUGGCCUUGAAGAAAGCAACCAGGAAAGGCUGCUUGGACUGAGGCCCAUUCCUCCCAAUGAUUCCACCAGAUUUCAUGUUGAUGCUUCGCCCUGUAAAAAAAACAGAAGUCUCCACACAGAGCUGCAGGCCCAGGUUCUGCUGUGGGUUCAUCAACCAGUGGUUACUGGUGGCCGUGAUGUCAAACACGAGCCAGCCCCCAUCGGAUGCCUGUACCCUUUUGGAGUCAAGCAAGAAUGUCUCUGCAUCUCUGAAGGUAAUAAAAAACAAUGAAACAAACAUCUGCGAUUAAUAGACUCACAGUUCAAAUGAUGCUCACUCAAACAGCCAGUACAAACAUGCAAGCAGCAACUGUUAUUUCACAAGGAUCAACAACAAAAAAUUUUAAAUAGAUAAGCUGUGAGUAUGUUACUUAUUAAGAUGAUCCUGCUUUUUACAGUGCCAGUAAGAUGAUUGUGUCACUUUACUGCUGCAUUAUAAAGAAAUUACUAAACCUCAGUGCCUGUUACAGUGUAUUGAACUCUAAAACAAAUAAAACCUUGUUGUGGACAUUCAUGUUGCAAG